GUAGGUGGCAAGCGCUGUCCGGAAUUAUUGGGCGUAAAGCGCGCGCAGGCGGUUCUUUAAGUCUGAUGUGAAAGCCCACGGCUCAACCGUGGAGGGUCAUUGGAAACUGGAGAACUUGAGUACAGAAGAGGAAAGCGGAAUUCCACGUGUAGCGGUGAAAUGCGUAGAGAUGUGGAGGAACACCAGUGGCGAAGGCGGCUUUCUGGUCUGUAACUGACGCUGAGGCGCGAAAGCGUGGGGGGAGCAAACAGGAUUAGAUACCCUGGUAGUCCACGCCGUAAACGAUGAGUGCUAAGUGUUAGGGGGUUUCCGCCCCCCCCUUAGUGCUGCAGCUAACGCAUUAAGCACUCCGCCCUGGGGAGUACGGCCGCAAGGCUG
rnacentral:rRNA from 1 species